rnacentral:rRNA from 1 species
CGAAUGCUGACAUAAGUAACGAUAAAGCGGGUGAAAAGCCCGCUCGCCGGAAGACCAAGGGUUCCUGUCCAACGUUAAUCGGGGCAGGGUGAGUCGACCCCUAAGGCGAGGCCGAAAGGCGUAGUCGAUGGGAAACAGGUUAAUAUUCCUGUACUUGGUGUUACUGCGAAGGGGGGACGGAGAAGGCUAUGUUGGCCGGGCGACGGUUGUCCCGGUUUAAGCGUGUAGGCUGGUUUUCCAGGCAAAUCCGGAAAAUCAAGGCUGAGGCGUGAUGACGAGGCACUACGGUGCUGAAGCAACAAAUGCCCUGCUUCCAGGAAAAGCCUCUAAGCAUCAGGUAACAUCAAAUCGUACCCCAAACCGACACAGGUGGUCAGGUAGAGAAUACCAAGGCGCUUGAGAGAACUCGGGUGAAGGAACUAGGCAAAAUGGUGCCGUAACUUCGGGAGAAGGCACGCUGAUAUGUAGGUGAAGCGACUUGCUC